UCCGGACAGAGCAAAAAAAACAAGGCAUCAGUAUUGUUGAGUAUUAGCUUGUACCUGGUUCGGAGGCUAAACCAUAAUCCAUCAUGCGAGUACAUUUGGGCCUAGCUCUGGCCCCCACAGUCUCUAGGGGAGGUGAUCUGGCUGGGGACAGGAAAUUGACAGAUGCUGGUCACCAGGUCACAGACCCUCUGAAGUUGCCCUGCGAGCCUCAGCCCAGCCCAGCCCCCGUCCAAAACCUCCGUGGCCCGGCCGCGCUGCAGGAAACCCGGCUUGGCCUUUGCCAGCCCUCCACCUUCCAGGGAGCACGGCAUCCGAAAAACGCCAGCAGACCAACUAUUAGACGAAUUAUCCCGCCCUAACAGCACUAACAGAUGGCGACCAGGCAGCAAAAUCCCCUCCUAUAUGUAACUAAUAAACCGCUUGUGUCUUAACAGGGUAAUGCACGGAGACGCAAUGUCACUUAUACAAGAUGUUGAUGAAAUUUACUAUAUAAAAAUCUUCCUCCUAGACUAAAGAGUAUCAACAUUACAACUCGACAGACGGCGGCGGGAUAAGUAAAACAGACAAAAGACAAACAAGAUAAUAAUCUGUUUCCAAUCACUUAAGCCCUGUAGAGUUAGUAAUAUGCGGUUUGCAUAUUCCCCCUUGAGUUCGGUAAUUAAUUACCGGCGAAGAGGCACACACCCGCCCGGGGUGGGAGUUUUGAAGCGCACUGAGCUGGGGCUUGGGUGGGGUGGGGGGCGGCUUUCCUGUCUUCUCCAGCCUGGGAGGCAGGGCAGCCGCCGGAAUGGGGACUCUUCGGGGCAUCUGGAGAUGACCUACCCCUCAGGCUAAAGAGAAUUUUCUCUCGCACCUCCCUAUUCCUCACUGGAAACUCUCUUGCGUGGGUUGCGGGGGGAGGGACGUGGUGGUGGUUCAGCAGCUCAGAAGGAACGUGGGGGCUUUUCUGGCAGUCGGAUGAUCUCCUUUCGCCCCUCUGAAGGCAUCCCCUCCCUUUGAAUGGGCCGGAGUGGCUUGCUUUCUUGGGGAACGCGCACUCUGAGGAAACCCGAUAGGUGCGCCCCUCGUUCUCUCCUCCGCGCGGUAUCUUGGGCGGCGCAGCGGGUCCUCUCCCGACUUCGAUCAUUACUUCCCCCCAACCCCCCAGCCAAACGCCUUCUCCUCACCCCCCCCCCACCCCGCCCCCAAGAGCCGGCGCGGCUUUAACAUUAAACAAACGCAGCGAGCGUCUCAGAGCUGCGCUCUCGGCCGGGUCUGCGCGGCGGCGGCGGCGUUACAAAUUGUAAAUUUAAAUUGCUCGCCGGAUUCAUUACCUCCCCUCUUUGAUUUCAGCCAGCCGUGAAAAAUUAUACUGGUGUACCACUGAGAAACUGUUUUGCCGCAAAGAGCCCGCGCCUAAUCACUGGCUUUCUCCCUCCGACAAAAGUGUAAUUAUUUUGUUUGGGGUGUAAAUAUAGGCCGCGCCGCGCACACACACUCAGCGUCCCGCCGCGCCGCCGCGCACUGCCCGCCGCCGCGCGGCAUCGGCCCGAGUAGGAGCGAGCGGAGAGGCCGGGCCCUGCUGCCCUGAGGCCUGAGAAGAGCGGUUGGUUUGGCGCUCCGGCGAGACCCAGAGAGCCGAACUGGCAGGCCAGGUCCCCAGUCCCUGUCCUCAGGAGUUCGGGUUUGCCAGAGGACGCCCAGAACGUGUGCGCCCUGGCUGGCCUGGGUGGACGCUGGUGGGGCCUGAUGCGAGGGUCAGAGCUAGCGCUCUGGCCUGGGUAUCCGCGCAGGGAUGCGGAAGGAAUGUAGGGGUGGGUCAGCCUCCCGGGAGCUCCGAGGGGGCGGCCACCGGGUGGCAGCCCUGAGUCCAGGCUGGAAAAGUAUCUGGGCUUGGGCAUCCCCAAGAGCACCGGGGCGUAGGCGGAACCCUGGAAGACAGAGGCGAUAAGGCCGGUGUGCCCCUUGCGCUCUGCCUUGGACUGCUUGGUUUCCAGAACAUCUCCGCGGGGUGCAGGGCCUUCCUGUCAGCUGAAUUGCGCACGGCUUAAUUAACGGUCUCGUUAACUGGGCAGGCCCGACCUGGAACGUUUAAUCAAAAAGGCAGGGAAUCCCUCUGUUUCCCUUCUUCCUUCCUUCCUUCCUCCCCCCUCCCUCCCUCCCUGUCAUUCGCUAGCUGACCCACCCACGCACCCUUCCUUCUUUCCUUUCUCCUUCCUUUCUUCCUUCUUCUAUUUAUUCAACAAUGGCACUCCUCCCCAUUCUCCCGCCCUCCUGAGUCCCCUUCCCAGUGCUGGGAAGAGGUGGGGGCGGCUCUGGAGUCUGAACUUAACCCCUGCCCAAUAUCUGGACUGGGACUCAAAGGGGCCUGUAGGGUGCAAGCCUGCAGGGGUUGGGCAACACUGUCGUGUUGGGUGGCUUUGGGACAGGCACCGGUGCCAGAAGGCUGUGUCAGCUUCAGGGGAGCCAAGAGUCCGGCCAUGAUGGAGGUUGGCUGGGCAGACUUACCAGACACCUGGCAUCUCGGAGAGGAAGCAGGUGGGGAGGACAGUGGCUGAACAGGACUUUGGGUUGUGGGAGAUCCAGUCCCAAAGUGAGUGCAUGUGCUUGGUAACGCUGGCCAGCUUAGAGACCCAGAUGCUUCUGUGGCCAAGGCCAGGUGUAGGGGCCCCUCUCUCCUUCCUGCAAGCCCGAAGCCUGGAAGGCACCCCCUCCCCCAGUGACCCUAACCUCCUGGUUACCCGGCCAGCUUAUGCGCUAUAUCCCCGAGGUUGUGGGCUGCAACGCAUCGCCAAACUCACACUCCAGUCGCUGGAGCACAGGCUGGGGCUGAUUUCUGGGGGCCAGAGAGGGUCUAAGGAGGACAGAAAGAAAGGUGCAAGCCAGUCCGCCAACUUGUGAGGAAAAUACUGAGGCUUUUGUUCAGAGAGGGAAAACCCCGGCCCUUGGUGCUGAGCUGUGCGCUGUCCCAAGGACUGCCGGCUGGAGCGCAGAUCCCAGGCGGCCUGAUAAGCCGAAGGUUUGAGCUGAGAACCGCUGGGAUCCUCCUCCUCCUUGCCUGGCCUGUUAGGCCUGGAGGCCGGCGCCAGCUGUUUGGCGUGGGAGGGCGGGCAGCUCUGGGAGCUCGCGGCUGUGGUCGCGGCUUCUCUGGCCCCAUUGAGCGUAUCUGAAGGUGGAGACCAUCCUCCCGCGGAGGAAGCUGUUUCCAAGAAGAUGCCUGCAACCCUACUCCAUCUCCGGAACACGAAUGGGGAGAGCUUUCCAGGGACGUUAACCUUCAAAUUAAGGGUCCCCUAGACUUUCUAAUUACCGGCCAGUGAACGUUUGAGUCUGUAUCUUGCGGUCCCUUUCUUUCCUCUAGGUCUUUUUCACGGUCUCGAUAACAUUGCCCCCCUUCUCCUCUCCUCCUUCUAGCCCACCUCCUCUCCCCGCCCCUCCGUAUUCCACCUCCUUUUUGUUAGCCUAAUACGGGUUCCUUUAUAAUUCGCCCGACUUUGGCAGCCCGCGCGCUGUGUGUGUGUGUGUAUGUGUGUGUGUGUGUGAGCGCGCGCCCGCGCGCGCGCGUUUAUUUCUCGGCUGCUAAUGAUUGUGUGUUGAUAGAGUAAAGCAGUGGCCUCAUUAGCCUUUGUUUAGAAGGUGUUAAAAGGGAAAUCUGCAUCGGAAAGCGGCGGUUUACACCGCAGCCGGGCUGAACAGCGAGCCGGAGCGGGCUGGGUGGGGGGCGUCCCUCCCCCACCUCCACACCUCCAAGCGCCCACCGCCGCGGACCCCGGGAGAGGGGAGGGGCCCAGGGAAAGCGACCCCCAGCUCCUUCCUCCCAAGGCGAGUAUGUUUACCCCUCUGAGCGCCCUUCUGCGCCACGGGGACCUCAGCGGGGAUCGCGCUUUCUCUAAAACUCCUUUGAGCUGCCCAACAGUGUGCAGUGGCCUUUCUCCUCCAGGUUUCUUGGGGGAGGAGGAGGGGAAGGACAGAAUGCUGUUUGGGGGAAAUUCCAGGGUUUUUUUUUUUUUCUUUUUCUUUUCCCUGAAGGGGAUGGUGAAGCAUCUUAUUUGGGAGGCGGAUACCAAUCCAUCCACAGUGUCUGGACUGGGCUCCGGGUCUUCUGGCUGGUUGGCUUGCUGCGAUAUCUCUGUGCUCCAGACGUUGGUGUGGGGGCCCUAAGCUUUAGAUCCGCAAGAGUUCUCUUUCUUUCCUCUUAACAUAUUUGCAGAUGGCCAGGGGAAGUCUUCUUGUACAGGAGGCUCAUUCUUAAACUUUCCUUGUCUAUACCCCACCCUAAGGCUCCACUUGGGGAACAAAUUGUGUGAGAACAAAUCUUAGCUUCGCUGGCCCACUUCUCUGAAGCUUGGCGAAAGCGCAGAACUUUAUUGACCCUGGCUGCAUUGUUUUUCUCUCUGUUUAUGUAUGUUGAGUGUAAGAUUUGGAGAAUGGGCUUUACACACGGGGCGUUUCUCACUUCCUCGGGAAAGCAAGGUUUUAGGCAAGCGAGAACAUGAGAAGAGAUUCUUUGUAUCCUGGAUCUUACGAAAGGGCCCAGAAAAAAAAAAAAAA